CCGUUCUUGUGUUAUUCGCUGGUUUAUCUUAUCCAAAACCAGUGAUUGUCAAACAGAACGCAUAGUAAACACCAGGCAGCUAAUCACUCCAUAAUGUUGAGCCGACUUUCCAGGGCAUCUGCAUUACUAAAUGUUUGCCACACUC